GGAAAUUAACUGGGUUGAAGACACACGACUACCAUAUUCUUCUUAAAAGUAUCACAUAUUAUGGUAUUCUUAAAAAUAUAUAUGUCCUGGAUUACCCCAACGAUCGACAUGUUGCUUUAUUUGAGUGUGAAUGGUAUGAUUUAGAGAGUAACAAGCCUGUGAGUAUAGCUAGUAAUACAUGUAUACAUUUUCAACAAUCUUUUGAGGCCAGGAUAUAGACCUGCUCCAACUUCUUCUUCUGAUGGAAAUGGUAUGAUCAGUUUGCCUCUGCUUCAAACAAUCAAAAUACUAUGUGAUUUGGCAAAUUUCUUCAUGAUCUUAAUCUUGAUGGUCCAAAUUUGUGAAUCACAGGCUCUCUGGUGUCGGAUGGAGGGUCCAGGUAUUCUUGAUCAGGUUGCUAGCUUUAUUUUGUGUUGUUUACCUCACCAACCAAACGCGCUCCUGCAGUGCUUUCCCCUGGCCGGCACGAUUCAAUGCUGCACUUUCCCUGCUUUUCGUGCCUGCUACCACAUCUCAAGAAAGGCACAUUGCAUUGCCCAUUAAUUGUCUGCCUUACCUAGUCAUUCUAUUAGUUAAUCCCCAACACAAGCUUGUCUUUCUCGUCUUGGGCGAAUGACACGGCUUGGCACUAGUUAACUUGCCAUUUCUUCAUUGACGAUUAGCUAGCCUUAAACACUACUGGCCUCUGAAUUUUUGGGUGUGCCGGUGCACCUAGAUCCACCCCGUUGCUUCUUCAAAAUGCCAGAUCAAUCUACUUAUCUGACUGAAUUCUCUUGACCACAUUUACUCUCGCUUAGUCGAGUUCUGCCACCACCCAUGCACUCUGGUUAUUAACACCAGUUUAAGUUAAUUUAAUGCGCUCAUUUUUAUUUGAUUAGUUUGCAGCGACGCUGAUAAUAUUAAGUGUACGUACAUUAGCUCAAGUCUUGGAUGUAAUCACGUAUGCAGUCUGUUUACUUUUGCUAGACCUGACCUGACCAUGUUCCUUAAUGUUGGUUUCACACCGAUUCGUUAGUUCAUUAUCCAGCGGUGUCUCUUGGUGGACAAUUGGAUAGUUAUUGGUUUCGACCCAUGGGAGUUGGAGAAUAAUGUGAUUCAGAGUUAGCUACGUACAAAUGUAUAGUAGAAAUUAAAAGUAGGUAGGUGGCAAAGUAGGUAGGUGAUUCAGAGUUAGCUACGUACAAAUGUAUUUCCUGUGUAUGUGUGCAGUUUUUCUUCCUGUGAUGUUGUUGAGCUUCUGAGCUAUGGCAAAGCUGAUCAAGUGACUGGCAAUUUGGUGUCUCUAGCUUAGUUUAUUGGCAUGCUUGCACUCUUUCUGAUGUUUGUUAUGUCUGGUGUUGUUAAUGAAAUAACAUAUGCUCUGGCCACCAUUAUAUAGGAGAUGACCUUGGAGGAGCAGCGGAAAGCAAUACUCGCGCUAAAGACUGAGAAGAGAAAACUAGUUGGAUCUAAAGAAAAUUCAGUGUACAAAUGCUAAAUGUAAUGUUUGGAUCAUAUUGGGGUCUACUGAUUGGAUCAUAUGUUCAGAUCAGUACUAAACGUGGUACUGUACUUUGCAAAUGCUAGAGUGGUAUUUCCUACUUGCAAAACAAAAUUCAGUUUAGCAUGUAAUGUUUGGAUCAUAAGUUUACAAAUGUUGAUUCUGAACUUCUGAAUGUUGAUUCUGAACUGCCAAAUGUCUAAAAUUCUGAGAUUUCUUGCAUACUGCAAAUGUCAGCGUGUGACAAUAUAUUGUACCUAUGAUAUAGUUGCUUUCUCA
rnacentral:lncRNA from 1 species